AACGAACGCUGGCGGCGCGUCUUAAGCAUGCAAGUCGAACGGCAAGAUUGGUGCUUGCACCGAUCCUAGAGUGGCGGACUGGUGAGUAACGCGUGGGUGACGUACCCUAAGGAUGGGGAUAGCUGGUAGAAAUAUCAGAUAAUACCGAAUAUCCUUAUUGUUGUUAGAGGACAGUAAGGAAAGGUGCUUUGGCUUCGCCUAAGGAUCGGCCCGCGUACUAUUAGCUAGUUGGUGAGGUAACGGCUAACCAAGGCGACGAUAGUUAUCCGGCCUAAGAGGGUGAACGGACACAUUGGGACUGAGAUACGGCCCAGACUCCUACGGGAGGCAGCAGCUAAGAAUAUUCCGCAAUGGAGGAAACUCUGACGGAGCGACGCCGCGUGGAUGAUGAAGGCCGGAAGGUUGUAAAAUCCUUUUAAGCAAGAAGAAUAAACUUUCCAGGGAAUGGUAGAGUGGUGACGGUAUUGCUUGAAUAAGCAACGGCUAAUUACGUGCCAGCGGCCGCCGUAAAAC
rnacentral:rRNA from 1 species